rnacentral:misc_RNA from 1 species
AUUUCGCACAGAUUUAAGUCUUGUUUCGCCAAAACCUUGAGUGACUAUCUGGCUACAAACAGAAUGGAUGGUGAGAACUGUGGACGUUGCUCUCUAUGUUCUACUAUCGCCAUGAGUUAGCCAGUGUGAAGAAGGAACUAGCAGAAGUUGAAGGCCAGCUGCAGAUUCUCUUGGACAGACAACAUCAGCUGGCAGAGAAGAGGAGGGACCUUGAGGCCAUCUUGAAACAACAGUCAGAGCAGACAAACCAGGUGGACGACAAAAAAUGGGAGACCAAAGAUUUUGCUUGGUCAAAGGAGUUGGAGGAGAAGAUGACCUCAGUGUUCGGGAUCCGGGCACUGCGUCCGAUGCAGCUACAGACGAUGAACGUCACCAUGUCGGGGAAGGACUGUAUGCUCAUUAUGCCGACUGGUGGGGGCAAGAGUCUAUGUUUUCAGCUCCCAGCUGUUGCGUCAAAAGGUAUAACCCUGGUUGUCUCCCCUUUGGUAUCUUUAAUGGAGGACCAAAUGAUGGCUCUAGAACAGCUAGGUGUUGAGGCAGCCAUGUUGAAUGCUGCCGCCACCAAAGAACACGUGAAAUACGUUCAGGAUGCCAUGAUCGACAAGAAGGCGCCCUUGAAAAUGGUGUAUGUGACCCCAGAGAAACUGGCGAAGAGUAAACGCUUCAUGAACCGACUGGAGAAGAUGUACCAGCUUGGGCGGUUUGCGAGGCUUGUCAUUGAUGAGGUCCACUGUUGUUCUCAGUGGGGUCAUGACUUCAGACCUGACUACAAAUUCCUUGGCAUCAUGAAGCGGCAGUUUCCCGAGGUGCCGAUCCUGGGAUUGACAGCAACCGCAACAACAAAGGUGCUGCAGGACGUCAAGAAGAUUCUUGCUAUCCCCAACUGUCAUCUCUUCAGGGCAUCCUUCAACAGACCCAAUCUCUACUAUGAGGUUCGACCCAAGCCGUCAGCACAGAAAGACUCAAUGGAUGAAAUACAGGAGCUUAUCAAAUCGAGGUUCAGGGGACAGUCAGGAAUCGUGUACUGUUUCUCCAGGAAGGAUGCUGAGGAGGUUACCAUGGAGCUGCAGAAAAGGGGUAUUAAGGCAGGGUGUUACCAUGGUGACCUGUCCUCCAAAGAGAGGAGCCGUGUGCACAAGCUGUGGACAGCCAGUCAGAUUCAUGUUGUGGUAGCAACAGUAGCAUUUGGCAUGGGCAUCGACAAACCUGACGUGAGGUUCGUCAUCCAUCACUCGUUAAGCAAGUCAAUGGAGAACCUCUACCAGGAGAGUGGGCGAGCAGGAAGAGACGACAAGCUGUCACACUGUAUUGUGUUCUUUCGCUUUGCUGAUGUGUUCAGACAGAGUACCAUGGUGUUCACAGAACAGACAGGACUCGACAACCUGUAUGGUAUUUUGGGAUACUGUAUCGACACCAGCAGAUGUCGACGGUCGAUGAUCGCCAGGCACUUUGGUGAGGUAUGGGAAGCGUCACAGUGUAACAGUAAAUGUGACCACUGUGACCCAACAAGAUCAGCGACAUCCAACAAACGUGACGUAACACGUCAUGGGCAGAACAUCCUGAAGAUCCUAGACCAGGCAGCAUGUACAGACCAAAGGGUCACAGCUAUCAAACUCAUUGAUGCCUUAUAUGGCAAGGGUCAGGGGUCGCUGAAGGUGAAAGGCCUUGACACCAUGUCCAUAUCCCGUGAGAAGGCGGAGAGGAUCGUGGCCUAUAUGCUGCUGCAUGCUUACCUGAAGGAAGAUUUUCACUUCACACCCUACUCCACCAUCAGCUACCUCCUUCCAGGUGCCAAGGCAGGUCAACUGCGAAGUGGAAUCUCAAAUAUUGCAAUGGAAUUCGAGUCAAAAGUUGUAAGAAACAACUCCAGCAGUUCUCAAGGAAAGGGGGAUAACUCUGCUACACCAUCAUCAUCAGAGGAACCAUCACCAGCAAAUAAGAAAGGACAAGCCAAACCAAAACUGGUUAUUGUGAAAAGUUUGGGACAUGUUGAUUCAGGUGGCGAUAAGCAAACAGUCAAGAAACAUAACUCUUUGACCAAAAAACGUAAACCAGUGAUUAUUGACAGUGAUGAAGACAGUCUUGAUUGUCUUGCUUUUGAUGAUGAUAUAGUUGUUCCAGCAAAGAAGAAAGUUUCUAGAUGUGAAACAUUUGGGUCAUCAGUGGCAAAUGGGGUCAGUUCACAGUCUCAGAAAGCCAUCUUGGUGGAUGACAGCAGUGAUUCUGAUUUCCAGUCAUGACCAUGUAUUGGAGAGUAUUUGAAACAGUGAUCAUGUGUUAGAGAGUAUUUGAGAACAAUGACUCUAUGUUGGAGAGUAAUUCCCAUCCUGGACAUGAGUGAGUGAGUAUGGUUUUA